rnacentral:rRNA from 1 species
AGCUAUAAUGCAAGUCGAGCGGACAGAUGGGAGCUUGCUCCCUGAUGUUAGCGGCGGACGGGUGAGUAACACGUGGGUAACCUGCCUGUAAGACUGGGAUAACUCCGGGAAACCGGGGCUAAUACCGGAUGGUUGUUUGAACCGCAUGGUUCAGACAUAAAAGGUGGCUUCGGCUACCACUUACAGAUGGACCCGCGGCGCAUUAGCUAGUUGGUGAGGUAACGGCUCACCAAGGCGACGAUGCGUAGCCGACCUGAGAGGGUGAUCGGCCACACUGGGACUGAGACACGGCCCAGACUCCUACGGGAGGCAGCAGUAGGGAAUCUUCCGCAAUGGACGAAAGUCUGACGGAGCAACGCCGCGUGAGUGAUGAAGGUUUUCGGAUCGUAAAGCUCUGUUGUUAGGGAAGAACAAGUGCCGUUCAAAUAGGGCGGCACCUUGACGGUACCUAACCAGAAAGCCACGGCUAACUACGUGCCAGCAGCCGCGGUAAUACGUAUGUGGCAAGCGUUGUCCGGAAUUAUUGGGCGUAAAGGGCUCGCAAGCGGUUUCUUAAAUCUGAUGGAAAAUCCCCCGGCUCAAUCGGGUGU